rnacentral:rRNA from 1 species
UACGGAGGGUGCGAGCGUUGUCCGGAAUCACUGGGCGUAAAGGGCGCGUAGGCGGCCCGGUAAGUAGGGGGUGAAAUCCUGCGGCUUAACCGCAGGGCUGCCUUCUAAACUGUCGGGCUCGAGCACGGUAGGGGCAGAUGGAAUUCCCGGUGUAGCGGUGGAAUGCGUAGAGAUCGGGAAGAACAUCAGUGGCGAAGGCGGUCUGCUGGGCCGUUGCUGACGCUGAGGCGCGACAGCGUGGGGAGCAAACAGG